rnacentral:rRNA from 1 species
UACGUAGGGCGCAAGCGUUAUCCGGAAUUAUUGGGCGUAAAGAGCUCGUAGGCGGUUUGUCGCGUCUGCCGUGAAAGUCCGGGGCUCAACUCCGGAUCUGCGGUGGGUACGGGGCAGACUAGAGUGAUGUAGGGGAGACUGGAAUUCCUGGUGUAGCGGUGAAAUGCGCAGAUAUCAGGAGGAACACCGAUGGCGAAGGCAGGUCUCUGGGCAUUAACUGACGCUGAGGAGCGAAAGCUGGGGAGCGAACAGG